UUCAGCAUUUAAGCCGCCCUGCAAUGAUCUUAUCUGAUCUCAGUAGCUAAGCAGGUCAGAUCUGGUUUGUCUUCGGAUAGGAGACCACCUGGAAAUAUCAAGUGUCUAUAGGAA
rnacentral:rRNA from 1 species